rnacentral:rRNA from 1 species
UACGGAGGGUGCGAGCGUUGUCCGGAAUCAUUGGGCGUAAAGGGCGCGUAGGUGGCCCGGUCAGUCAGUGGUGAAAGCGCGGGGCUCAACUCCGCGUCGGCCAUUGAUACUGCUGGGCUUGAGCACUGUAGAGGCAGGCGGAAUUCCGGGUGUAGCGGUGGAAUGCGUAGAGAUCCGGAAGAACACCGGUGGCGAAGGCGGCCUGCUGGGCAGUGGCUGACACUGAGGCGCGACAGCGUGGGGAGCAAACAGG